rnacentral:rRNA from 1 species
CUAGAGUUUGAUCCUGGCUCAGGACGAACGCUGGCGGCGUGCUUAACACAUGCAAGUCGAACGGUGAAGCCCAGCUUGCUGGGUGGAUCAGUGGCGAACGGGUGAGUAACACGUGAGCAACCUGCCCUCCACUUCGGGAUAAGCCUUGGAAACGGGGUCUAAUACCGGAUAUGAGCCUGCAUCGCAUGGUGUGGGUUGGAAAGUUUUUCGGUGGGGGAUGGGCUCGCGGCCUAUCAGCUUGUUGGUGGGGUGAUGGCCUACCAAGGCGUCGACGGGUAGCCGGCCUGAGAGGGCGACCGGCCACACUGGGACUGAGACACGGCCCAGACUCCUACGGGAGGCAGCAGUGGGGAAUAUUGCACAAUGGGCGAAAGCCUGAUGCAGCGACGCCGCGUGAGGGAUGACGGCCUUCGGGUUGUAAACCUCUUUCAGCAGGGAAGAAGCGCAAGUGACGGUACCUGCAGAAGAAGCGCCGGCUAACUACGUGCCAGCAGCCGCGGUAAUACGUAGGGCGCAAGCGUUGUCCGGAAUUAUUGGGCGUAAAGAGCUCGUAGGCGGUCUGUCGCGUCUGGUGUGAAAUCCCGAGGCUCAACCUCGGGCUUGCAUCGGGUACGGGCAGACUAGAGUGCGGUAGGGGAGACUGGAAUUCCUGGUGUAGCGGUGGAAUGCGCAGAUAUCAGGAGGAACACCGAUGGCGAAGGCAGGUCUCUGGGCCGCAACUGACGCUGAGGAGCGAAAGCAUGGGGAGCGAACAGGAUUAGAUACCCUGGUAGUCCAUGCCGUAAACGUUGGGCAAUAGGUGUGGGGCUCAUUCCACGAGUUCCGUGCCGCAGCUAACGCAUAAGUGCCCC